GGCUUGGUAGCGGAGGGUCCACAUCUGCUUUCCAUUCAAGAUGCAUAUGUGUGAAAAUGGGUAAUGCAGAUAUUGAUUGCCUGUUCGACUCAGGCCCGAGCCG